rnacentral:rRNA from 1 species
CCUCGGGCGGCUGCAGUGGGGAAUAUUGGACAAUGGGCGAAAGCCUGAUCCAGCCAUGCCGCGUGUGUGAAGAAGGCCUUCGGGUUGUAAAGCACUUUCAGUGGGGAAGAAAGCCUUGGGGCUAAUACCCUCGAGGAAGGACAUCACCCACAGAAGAAGCACCGGCUAACUCCGUGCCAGCAGCCGCGGUAAUACGGAGGGUGCGAGCGUUAAUCGGAAUUACUGGGCGUAAAGCGCGCGUAGGCGGUCUGAUAAGCCGGUUGUGAAAGCCCCGGGCUCAACCUGGGAACGGCAUCCGGAACUGUCAGGCUAGAGUGCAGGAGAGGAAGGUAGAAUUCCCGGUGUAGCGGUGAAAUGCGUAGAGAUCGGGAGGAAUACCAGUGGCGAAGGCGGCCUUCUGGACUGACACUGACGCUGAGGUGCGAAAGCGUGGGUAGCAAACAGGAUUAGAUACCCCAGUAGUC